UUCCUGAAUAUAAAAGUUUGGUGGGGCA
rnacentral:piRNA from 1 species